rnacentral:misc_RNA from 1 species
UGAACAGCAGCCACCAGUGAUUCCAGC